GAUGAACGCUGGCGGCGCGCCUAACACAUGCAAGUCGAACGGCACCCCUCUCCGGAGGGAAGCGAGUGGCGAACGGCUGAGUAACACGUGGGGAACCUGCCCCCUCCCCCGGGAUAGCCGCCCGAAAGGACGGGUAAUACCGGAUACCCCGGGGUGCCGCAUGGCACCCCGGCUAAAGCCCCGACGGGAGGGGAUGGCUCCGCGGCCCAUCAGGUAGACGGCGGGGUGACGGCCCACCGUGCCGACAACGGGUAGCCGGGUUGAGAGACCGACCGGCCAGAUUGGGACUGAGACACGGCCCAGACUCCUACGGGAGGCAGCAGUGGGGAAUCUUGCGCAAUGGGGGGAACCCUGACGCAGCGACGCCGCGUGCGGGACGGAGGCCUUCGGGUCGUAAACCGCUUUCAGCAGGGAAGAGUCAAGACU
rnacentral:rRNA from 1 species